CAACUUCCACCUGGCAUACCUCUUCAGUUAUGCGUCAAGGCUUGUAUCGCCUAGAGCGUAUUGUGGGUUCCUGUGUUGUAUACCUAUUUGACGGUAUCGUUUGGAUUGAUUGAAGUCCCUUUUCGUCUUGUGUUACAUACGUGACGCACGAUGAACCACGAAGCCAUCUCUAUGAUCCAACUGUUGAUGCAAAUUUGUAUUGAUUGUGUGGCCCAUUGAGCAUUGCUUGGUCUCUUGGAUACGGAACAUGUUGUGGGCAUAGGGUCUCUCAUGAUCCUUUCUUUGCCCUUGUUCAGUGUUCUCUAAAAUGACAGUUCACGUGCGCCUAGGCUCGUACCUGCGCGGUGUUCUAUGUCUAAGGAAUGCUACCUGGUUGAUCCUGCCAGUAGUCAUAUGCUUGUCUCAAAGAUUAAGCC
rnacentral:misc_RNA from 1 species